CCCUUAGACGUUCUGGGCCGCACGCGCGCUACACUGACCAGUGCAACAAGCAUCCGUCCUUGGCCGACAGGCCCGGGCAAUCUUUGAACGCUGGUCGUGAUGGGGAUAGACUUUUGCAAUUUUUGGUCUUCAACGAGGAAUUCCUAGUAAACGCAAGUCAUCAACUUGCAUUGAUUACGUCCCUGCCCUUUGUACACACCGCCCGUCGCGCCUACCGAUUGAAUGGUCCGGUGAAGCCUCCGGAUUGGCGCGCACCUCGGUGCCGCCGAGAAGUUGGCUAAACCUUACCAUUUAGAGGAAGGUGAAGUCGUAACA
rnacentral:rRNA from 1 species